GGAUUAGGCAUGCAAGUCGCACGAGAAAGGUUUCUUCGGAAGCCAAGUACAGUGGCGAACGGGUGAGUAAUGCAUAGACAACUCGCCCUUGAGAUGGGGACAACGCCUCGAAAGGGGUGCUAAUACCCAAUGCCGCCUUGGGCCCGCGGGUCCAGGGUGAAAGGAGGCCUCUGAUUCAAGCUUCCGCUCAAGGAGAGGUUUAUGUCCUAUUAGCUAGUUGGCGGGGUAACGGCCCACCAAGGCUGCGAUGGGUAGCCGACCUGAGAGGGUGACCGGCCACAUUGGGACUGAGACACUGCCCAGACUCCUACGGGAGGCUGCAGUCGAGAAUCUUCCGCAAUGCGCGCAAGCGUGACGGAGCGACGCCGCGUGGGUGAUGAAGGCCUUCGGGUUGUAAAACCCUGUCAGCUACUACGAAACACGGGCGAUGAACAAUCGUCCCGUCUGACUUAAGUAGCAGAGGAAGCACCGGCUAACUACGUGCCAGCAGCCGCGGUAAUACGUAGGGUGCAAACGUUGUUCGGAAUCACUGGGCAUAAAGGGCGCGUAGGCGGUCUGAUAAGUCAGGUGUGAAAUCCCUCGGCCUAACCGAGGAACUGCAUUUGAUACUGUCGGGCUAGAGUACAGGAGGGGAGAGUGGAAUUCCUGGUGGAGCGGUGAAAUGCGUAGAUAUCAGGAGGAACGCCGGCGGCGAAAGCGACUCUCUGGCCUGUUACUGACGCUGAGGCGCGAAAGCUAGGGGAGCAAACGGGAUUAGAUACCCCGGUAGUCCUAGCCCUAAACGAUGGGCACUAAGUAGAGGGGUUUU
rnacentral:rRNA from 1 species